rnacentral:rRNA from 1 species
GGGUUGUGAGGUUAAGCGACUAAGCGUACACGGUGGAUGCCCUGGCAGUCAGAGGCGAUGAAGGACGUGCUAAUCUGCGAAAAGCGUCGGUAAGGUGAUAUGAACCGUUACAGCCGGCGAUGUCCGAAUGGGGAAACCCAGUGCAAUUCGUUGCACUAUCGUUAACUGAAUACAUAGGUUAACGAGGCGAACCGGGGGAACUGAAACAUCUAAGUACCCCGAGGAAAAGAAAUCAACCGAGAUUCCCCCAGUAGCGGCGAGCGAACGGGGAGCAGCCCAGAGUCUGAAUCAGCUUGUGUGUUAGUGGAACGGUCUGGAAAGUCCGACGGUACAGGGUGAUAGUCCCGUACACCAAAAUGCACAGGUUGUGAACUCGAAGAGUAGGGCGGGACACGUGGUAUCCUGUCUGAAUAUGGGGGGACCAUCCUCCAAGGCUAAAUACUCCUGACUGACCGAUAGUGAACCAGUACCGUGAGGGAAAGGCGAAAAGAACCCCGGCGAGGGGAGUGAAAAAGAACCUGAAACCGUGUACGUACAAGCAGUGGGAGCACCUUCGGGUGUGACUGCGUACCUUUUGUAUAAUGGGUCAGCGACUUAUAUUCUGUAGCAAGGUUAACCGUAUAGGGGAGCCGCAGGGAAACCGAGUCUUAACUGGGCGUUAAGUUGCAGGGUAUAGACCCGAAACCCGGUGAUCUAGCCAUGGGCAGGUUGAAGGUUGGGUAACACUAACUGGAGGACCGAACCGACUAAUGUUGAAAAAUUAGCGGAUGACUUGUGGCUGGGGGUGAAAGGCCAAUCAAACCGGGAGAUAGCUGGUUCUCCCCGAAAGCUAUUUAGGUAGCGCCUCGUGAACUCAUCUUCGGGGGUAGAGCACUGUUUCGGCUAGGGGGUCAUCCCGACUUACCAACCCGAUGCAAACUACGAAUACCGAAGAAUGUUAUCACGGGAGACACACGGCGGGUGCUAACGUCCGUCGUGAAGAGGGAAACAACCCAGACCGCCAGCUAAGGUCCCAAAGUCAUGGUUAAGUGGGAAACGAUGUGGGAAGGCACAGACAGCCAGGAUGUUGGCUUAGAAGCAGCCAUCAUUUAAAGAAAGCGUAAUAGCUCACUGGUCGAGUCGGCCUGCGCGGAAGAUGUAACGGGGCUAAACCAUGCACCGAAGCUGCGGCAGCGACACUAUGUGUUGUUGGGUAGGGGAGCGUUCUGUAAGCCUGCGAAGGUGUGCUGUGAGGCAUGCUGGAGGUAUCAGAAGUGCGAAUGCUGACAUAAGUAACGAUAAAGCGGGUGAAAAGCCCGCUCGCCGGAAGACCAAGGGUUCCUGUCCAACGUUAAUCGGGGCAGGGUGAGUCGACCCCUAAGGCGAGGCCGAAAGGCGUAGUCGAUGGGAAACAGGUUAAUAUUCCUGUACUUGGUGUUACUGCGAAGGGGGGACGGAGAAGGCUAUGUUAGCCGGGCGACGGUUGUCCCGGUUUAAGCAUGUAGGCUGGUUAUCCAGGCAAAUCCGGAUAAUCAAGGCUGAGGUGUGAUGACGAGGCACUACGGUGCUGAAGUAACAAAUGCCCUGCUUCCAGGAAAAGCCUCUAAGCAUCAGGUAACAUCAAAUCGUACCCCAAACCGACACAGGUGGUCAGGUAGAGAAUACCAAGGCGCUUGAGAGAACUCGGGUGAAGGAACUAGGCAAAAUGGUGCCGUAACUUCGGGAGAAGGCACGCUGGUGUGUAGGUGAAGUCCCUGCGGAUGGAGCUGAGACCAGUCGAAGAUACCAGCUGGCUGCAACUGUUUAUUAAAAACACAGCACUGUGCAAACACGAAAGUGGACGUAUACGGUGUGACGCCUGCCCGGUGCCGGAAGGUUAAUUGAUGGGGUUAUCCGUAAGGAGAAGCUCUUGAUCGAAGCCCCGGUAAACGGCGGCCGUAACUAUAACGGUCCUAAGGUAGCGAAAUUCCUUGUCGGGUAAGUUCCGACCUGCACGAAUGGCGUAAUGAUGGCCAGGCUGUCUCCACCCGAGACUCAGUGAAAUUGAACUCGCUGUGAAGAUGCAGUGUACCCGCGGCAAGACGGAAAGACCCCGUGAACCUUUACUAUAGCUUGACACUGAACAUUGAGCCUUGAUGUGUAGGAUAGGUGGGAGGCUUUGAAGCGUGGACGCCAGUCUGCGUGGAGCCAACCUUGAAAUACCACCCUUUAAUGUUUGAUGUUCUAACGUUGGCCCCUGACCGGGGUUGCGGACAGUGUCUGGUGGGUAGUUUGACUGGGGCGGUCUCCUCCCAAAGCGUAACGGAGGAGCACGAAGGUUAGCUAAUCCUGGUCGGACAUCAGGAGGUUAGUGCAAUGGCAUAAGCUAGCUUGACUGCGAGCGUGACGGCGCGAGCAGGUGCGAAAGCAGGUCAUAGUGAUCCGGUGGUUCUGAAUGGAAGGGCCAUCGCUCAACGGAUAAAAGGUACUCCGGGGAUAACAGGCUGAUACCGCCCAAGAGUUCAUAUCGACGGCGGUGUUUGGCACCUCGAUGUCGGCUCAUCACAUCCUGGGGCUGAAGUAGGUCCCAAGGGUAUGGCUGUUCGCCAUUUAAAGUGGUACGCGAGCUGGGUUUAGAACGUCGUGAGACAGUUCGGUCCCUAUCUGCCGUGGGCGCUGGAGAAUUGAGGGGGGCUGCUCCUAGUACGAGAGGACCGGAGUGGACGCAUCACUGGUGUUCGGGUUGUCAUGCCAAUGGCACUGCCCGGUAGCUAAAUGCGGAAGAGAUAAGUGCUGAAAGCAUCUAAGCACGAAACUUGCCCCGAGAUGAGUUCUCCCUGAGACUUUAAGUCUCCUGAAGGAACGUUAAAGACGAUGACGUUGAUAGGCCGGGUGUGUAAGCGCAGCGAUGCGUUG